rnacentral:rRNA from 1 species
UGGGGAAUAUUGGACAAUGGGCGAAAGCCUGAUCCAGCCAUGCCGCGUGUGUGAAGAAGGUCUUCGGUUUGUAAAGCACUUUAAGUUGGGAGGAAGGGCAUUAACCUAAUACGUUAGUGUUUUGACGUUACCGACAGAAUAAGCACCGGCUAACUCUGUGCCAGCAGCCGCGGUAAUACAGAGGGUGCAAGCGUUAAACGGAAUUACUGGGCGUAAAGCGCGCGUAGGUGGUUUGUUAAGUUGGAUGUGAAAUCCCCGGGCUCAACCUGGGAACUGCAUUCAAAACUGACUGACUAGAGUAUGGUAGAGGGUGGUGGAAUUUCCUGUGUAGCGGUGAAAUGCGUAGAUAUAGGAAGGAACACCAGUGGCGAAGGCGACCACCUGGACUAAUACUGACACUGAGGUGCGAAAGCGUGGGGAGCAAACA